UACGUAGGGGGCAAGCGUUGUCCGGAAUCAUUGGGCGUAAAGCGCGUGUAGGCGGCCCGGUAAGUCCGCUGUGAAAGUCGGGGGCUCAACCCUCGAAUGCCGGUGGAUACUGUCGGGCUAGAGUGCGGGAGAGGCGAGUGGAAUUCCUGGUGUAGCGGUGAAAUGCGCAGAUAUCAGGAGGAACACCAAUUGCGAAGGCAGCUCGCUGGAACGUAACUGACGCUGAGGCGCGAAAGCCAGGGGAGCAAACGGG
rnacentral:rRNA from 1 species